UACGUAGGGUGCGAGCGUUAAUCGGAAUUACUGGGCGUAAAGCGUGCGCAGGCGGUUGUGCAAGACAGAUGUGAAAUCCCCGGGCUUAACCUGGGAACUGCAUUUGUGACUGCACGGCUAGAGUGUGUCAGAGGGGGGUAGAAUUCCACGUGUAGCAGUGAAAUGCGUAGAUAUGUGGAGGAAUACCAGUGGCGAAGGCGGCGAUCUGGGAAGAUACUGACGCUGAGGUGCGAAAGCGUGGGGAGCAAACAGG
rnacentral:rRNA from 1 species